rnacentral:misc_RNA from 1 species
GUAGGUGAACCUGCGGAGGGAUCAUCAAAGAAUAACACAUUCUAAAACUCCAAGUGUUGGAGGAAGAAGGGGGGGGGAAGAGAAAAGGGGGGUCAUCUGUCCAUAUCUGUGGUAGUUGGCGUUUCUUCUUCUUCUUCUUCUUCUUCUCUUCCUCUGAUGCUUCAAACAAACGAUCACAACUAAACGCUAACAGCAAGGGGGGAAAAAGAAAGGCAGAGCAAUCUGUCUUUCUUUCAACAAAUGGUUGCCU